GGUUGAUCCUGCCAGUAGUCAUAUGCUUGUCUCAAAGACUAAGCCAUGCAUGUCUAAGUAUAAACACCUUUAUACUGCGAAACUGCGAACGGCUCAUUAUAUCAGUUAUAAUCUACUUGAUCGUAUCCUCUUACUUGGAUAACCGUAGUAAUUCUAGAGCUAAUACAUGCAAAAGUUCCCGACUGGUGACGGAAGGGAAGUAUUUAUUAGGUCCAAAAUCAAUGCUGGCUUUCGGGUCAGGUAAUUGAUGAUUCAUAAUAACUAAACGAAGCGCAGUGAGCUUGUCUCGGCG
rnacentral:rRNA from 1 species